CCCAGGGCUGGCUCCCCUCGCUGCAAGCCGGGACUUGCCGGCGGUGUCCCUGAGGGCUCGCAGCCGUAGCUCGAACACGCUGGAACCGACUCCUGCGAACCGGCUCCCUCCUUGAGACAUGCCUCCUUGCCCGGGACGCCGUCUCCCCGGGCUGGGGCGCGCGUGGGCCAGGGCACUUACUAGGCACCAGGUCCUUUGUUUCACGUGGACUCUCACUUAGCCAUCACAGCCACCUGCUGAGGGGCGCUGUUGCCAUCCCCAUUGAACAGAUGAGGAAACGGAGGCCCAGAGAGGAGGAGUAACUUGUCCGAAUCGUGCAGUGUUAAGUGGCGUUGCUGAGACAGAUGGAAUAAUCAGAUCUUCUGGACGUUGUGAAUCUGUAGCCCCAGUCAGGUGCUUGUUGAGUUUAUGCCGGGCCUCCAAAUAUAAAGGAAAGAGCAACAACAAACCCCCCAAAAACAUAUGCACAAUGUUGACAAUAUACUGCGUCAUUAAAAAUUUAGUCUGAAGA